rfam:TPA: Saccharomyces cerevisiae S288C chromosome X, complete sequence.
CUCUCGGUAGCCAAGUUGGUUUAAGGCGCAAGACUGUAAUUUAUCACUACGAAAUCUUGAGAUCGGGCGUUCGACUCGCCCCCGGGAGA